rnacentral:rRNA from 1 species
GACGAACGCUGGCGGCGCGCCUAACACAUGCCAGUCGAACGAGCGAGCGAGAGCUUGCUUUCUCAAGCGAGUGGCGAACGGGUGAGUAACGCGUGAGGAACCUGCCUCAAAGAGGGGGACAACAGUUGGAAACGACUGCUAAUACCGCAUAAGCCCACAGGUCGGCAUCGACCAGAGGGAAAAGGAGCAAUCCGCUUUGAGAUGGCCUCGCGUCCGAUUAGCUAGUUGGUGAGGUAACGGCCCACCAAGGCAACGAUCGGUAGCCGGACUGAGAGGUUGAACGGCCACAUUGGGACUGAGACACGGCCCAGACUCCUACGGGAGGCAGCAGUGGGGAAUAUUGCACAAUGGGGGAAACCCUGAUGCAGCGACGCCGCGUGGAGGAAGAAGGUCUUCGGAUUGUAAACUCCUGUUGUUGAGGAAGAUAAUGACGGUACUCAACAAGGAAGUGACGGCUAACUACGUG